AUACUACUCCCUCCGUCCCAUAUUAAGUGUCUUUCUAUUACAUGUAUCUAGAUGCUUUUUAGGGAUAGAUACAUUCAUAUUUGGACAAAUUUGAGUCACUUAAUAUGGGACGGAGGGAGUAUAUU
rfam:Brachypodium distachyon strain Bd21 chromosome 3, whole genome shotgun sequence.